GGAGUUUGGCAGAGGGGGGUGGAAUUCCACGUGUGGCAGUGAAAUGCGUAGAGAUGUGGAGGAACACCAAUGGCGAAGGCAGCCCCCUGGGUCGAUACUGACGCUCAUGCACGAAAGCGUGGGUAGCAAACAGGAUUAGAUACCCUGGUAGUCCACGCCCUAAACGAUGUCAACUAGGUGUUGGGAGGGUAAAACCUUUUAGUGCCGUAGCUAACG
rnacentral:rRNA from 1 species